rnacentral:tmRNA from 1 species
GGGGGCGAUCCGGAUUCGACGUCGGUAACGAACCCUGAGGUGCAUGCCGUGAUGGUAGCGAAUCACGUUAAUCCAAAGCUGCAAACUAUUAGUUGCCAACGACGACAACUACGGUGCCCAACUGGCUGCGUAAGCAGCCCGUGAAGCACUUCUAGAGGCUUCGGCCCUAGCGGUCUUUAGCAAGAUGCCAGUAUCGCGCUACUGACUGUCAUACAGAACUGGAUCGCAGUGCGGCUCGCCUUGGGCCAAGCUGUUAAACCUAACAGGGAUCGCCGACCACGUCCUGCCCGUCGGGCUGUGGAAGGCUAAAUCAAUAGACGGAAACUAAGCAUGUAGAGCCGAAGGCAGAGUACUGACGGACGCGGGUUCGAUUAACACCA